rnacentral:rRNA from 1 species
UACAGAGGUCUCGAGCGUUGUUCGGAUUCAUUGGGCGUAAAGGGUGCGUAGGUGGCGUGGUAAGUCUGGUGUGAAAUCCCGGGGCUCAACCCCGGAACUGCACUGGAUACUGCCAUGCUUGAGUACUGGAGAGGAGAUUGGAAUUUACGGUGUAGCAGUGAAAUGCGUAGAUAUCGUAAGGAAGACCAGUGGCGAAGGCGAGUCUCUGGACAGUUACUGACGCUGAGGCACGAAGGCCAGGGGAGCAAACGGG